ensembl:lncRNA
GGAUUAUGGAGGCCACUGUGCUAUUAGGAACCUUAAGUGCAGCAGAAUAUUUUUUUUAACCUUAGCCAGAUCUGUGCCUUGCCACAAUUCUGUCUCUAAGCUCUUCAGGCAGUUCCUUUGACCUCAUGAUUCUCAUUUGCUCUGACAUGCACUGUGAGCUGUAAGGUCUUAUAUAGACAGGUGUGUUGCUUUACUGUGGGCCAGUAUGUCAAAACCUUUUCAACGGUGAGUUCAACAAACGUUUUGUCCAUGGGAACAAUAUUACAGUUUUGGUUUAUUCUUUUGAGUUUUAACAAAAAAUUGAAGACCUUAGCAAAUGGCAUAUGUUAUCAGUUCACUGUCAGUUUACUAAUAAUAGCAAGGUUUUUUAACAACUUGUAUGUCUGCCUGAAUUAUUGAAGAAAUAUACCGUGACUACACUGUUUGUUGGCAUUGCAUUCUCCCUAGGUCUAGGCUAUAGGAAGAUCGGGUGGUCUUUGGAUAUUUAACUAAACAUAUUUUUAUUUCAAGGAAUGUUUUUCUUGCUGAUCUGGUUGGUGGAAAAUGGACACCCCCAGAAGACUGUGGUGAUCCGUUUUCAUGAACAUGAGGCAUCAGUUCCUGGUAUCUUGUCAAAAGUCCAAGAUGCUAUUGGAUCAGAAGAUGGUAUGAUACUGACUGAUGGCCAGGGGAAUGAAAUUCUCGAUACAGAGGGAACCAAAGGUUCAGCUUACUGGAAACAAAAUUCUAGGAAGGUUUUUGCUGUGCCUGAACAACAGUUCUUGGAUAUGAGAUCCAAAAGGAGAAGAUUAAGCCAACGGGAUGAUGACAGCCAGCUAUCAGAGAUCUUAGAAAGAAUGAAAGAGUUGGUGUUGGCAUCCCAAGAACUGUCAGAGGUUGCACAGGCCAUCAGAGGCUUAUCUGAGCUGACGUUGGCACGCAGACAUUUUAUUACAUUCACGGACGAAGAACAUGCAGCAAUUAAAAAUGCAUUUGCUUGCAUUAUUUGCAAAGGGCCCAUGAAUUAUCCUGUUUUUGCAGUUUGCUGUCAGAGUCUCAUUGCAUGCAAACUGUGCUUUGACCAGUGGCAGCGAAAUGUCAACACCUGUGUGAAAUGCAGAGGGAAGACAACUCAAGGGAAGACACCUACAGAGUCACAGGAAUUGAUGGUGCAUUGUCUGCUUUUGGUGAUCUUAUCAAAGAUUAAAUACAGUGGGAAAAAAUGUUGUAUACCUGUUACAAGUGUCACACGUUAAGAAGUUUCAUAAUAUGGCACUACUACGGCAGCUCUUUAUUAGUUACUGGUGUUUGUUACAUGUUAAGAGUAAAUAUACUCUUGAAUAUAGAGUAUAAAAAAGGUUAUAACUGUUCAAGUUAUUACUGUUCAGUUAUUGACUUAAAAGUGAGAAGCAGGCAGCACUUUUUCUGCUUUAAUCAGAGUUAUUAUAUACAAUGUAAGUUAUAUAACAAAUAUCACUGUUUAAGUGUCAAGUUCAACUUUUGAAGUAAAAUGCAGCACUGGAUAACACUUUAUUAAAGCUUUAAUGUGACAGUUUUAUACCUCAAAUUACAGCAUUGUUUUAAUACAAUUCAUAAUGCCUAUGUUCAAAAGACUUGCUAUUUAUUUGUAUAUUUUUGUACUUUGUAAAAUUAUUGUUCACAAAAAUAUGUAAUAAAUGUUAGUUUUAUGAUGAAUGUCUUGUUCCUGGUAUUAUUAAAGAAACCUUCAUCUUCAUGAAUAACGUCUUGUUACAUUUAUGAGAUGUAAUAUGGCUUCUUUAAAGGGUGUGAAGUCAUAAUUUACAGCCUGAUCAAAGCACCGUGUAAUGUCUGGAUAAUGAUCAGCAAAUUUUUCCUCCGCCUGGACUCUGUCUUCCUCACAAUAAAAAGGAUCUGUCACUAAUGAUGAUGUUCUUGUCAGACAGGACCCCACAUCUUGCUGGUACAUGUCAGCAACCACAGAGGCCUGUGGAAGGAGUUCCUCGGAAAUCUUUGCUGGACACCCACCUUCAGCCAAGAUGCUUGGUAUUCCUUUUCCUACAACAGCAGUACCAUAAUUAAUAUACAAACAAGAAGAAAGGUUUAAAAAGGUUGUAAGUAAAGCCAAGUACAUGUAGCUUGACAUUGGUGCAGUUAUAUACAAAAUAAUGAUUUGUAUAUAAUUUUGUAUGUUUACAUUGUUACUACCAAAAAAAGAAAAUGCAUGUUUAGAAAUACCUGCAAUCCUAUGUGCAUUCCAUGAUAGCACAGUUCGUUCAAGCCCAAUUGAGGAAACCUGACAAGUGAGAUUGGAUACACAAAAUCUAGUUGUGUUGUCCUCCAUGUUGAUCACCUCUUGGUCUUGAAGUUGCAGCAGGGCUUCUUUCAGGGGAUAGUUGACUCUGUUAUUUAUUUCUGGCCAUAUUCGCUCAGCUUUGAGGUUCAGUGGAUACAGUAUCAUACUAUUUAUUUUAUUGUGUAAAGAAAUGAUGGACUUCAGGUGAGGUUUUUAAUGUGGCAGGAAAAACUUACCCUUGAUGAUUUUGUCUGUACAUAUGGUUGCCUGUUUAUAUUGUAUCUGUGUCUGGACAGCAGCUCUUGGAUAUACAGGCACAUAUAGAACUCUUUUCC